AACGUAAUGAGAAUCUAGAAUUAGCAUUACUGAGGCUGUCUGGAAGGAACAGCCACCACACGUUCCCGCCCACAAGACCAGCACGGCUCCUGCACUCCGCUGCCUCUCCUCCCGCGGCUGCCACGGGAGCUGCUUCUCCCCGCAGCGGCUCUGCUCUCCUCGUAGCCGUGCUGAGAGAGCGACGGCUUGUCUUGCUCCCAGCAAACACAAAACCGCCCCAAACCACACAUUCAGCGCAGCGAAACGGGCGUGAGCUCUGACGGCGGCCUUCCCUCGCCGCAACGGGAGCUGCUGCGCCCCGCCCUCACGGCCGCGACAUGGCGGCGGCGGAUGAGGGCGGGCCGGGCUGCUCGGAGGCAGCGCCCCGGGACGGCCGGGCGCGGCGGUGGCUCUGCGAGCCUUGAGCAAAACAGCGGCCCGUACUCGAAUCGCACGUCGUGGGCCUUGGAAUUCACUGUGUGCAUCUGAAAUUCUGGAAAGUGACGAUGAGAAUCCC
rnacentral:lncRNA from 1 species